UUUCACUUACGCCAAAGGGCGCUUCUUCCCAAAGACAUAUGCAGCUAAUUUGGUUUGCUAAUUUGGUUUGCUCCAUGGUCAGCUCCAUUUCGGGAGUUGGCCUGAAUGCCAUCUCGUAAGCCUGUUUUCAUAGUUUCAGCAUUGUUUGGUCAUCAUAAAUCAAUCUACAUAACCAUGCAUGCAGUUAUUAACACCGGAUCAGGGACUAUAAUUUGAAACCCACCAUUGGAACACAGUUGCUGUUGUUUUCAAUGCGAUUGCGCCUAAUUGCGGGAACAGUUUCGGUUGCCUCAUGAGAUAGGGGACUCGUUUGACGUACAGCGUGAAAUGCAGAGGCCAUCAUUCGCUUCAGCGUCGACGGAGGAGUUGCAUCAGUGGCAGUAACCUCGAUUCGCUCCAGCUUCGGCAGCUUACAGGGCCCAGUAGGCUGGGGGCUUGAUGCAUACAAUCCGGCGACGCAGGUUGUUGACUCAAACUGUGUCCACACCGGCAGACCACGGAGGUCCUGUUGGGCACAACGACAGUGGUGAACAAAUCACCUUAAUGGAUUUAGGAGGAACAAAAAUACUCCAACCAUGGUGGCUUGGAGCAAGUCAUAUAAGUUGCGUACCUUGUCUUGGGUUGCUCCGACGGUCGUAGGUGCUUUGCUUGGGUUGGUCCCGAAGUGUCUUUGGGGUCCAGAUCCCCACUUCAGGAGGGUGUUUUGCGGUGGCACAAGCAACGUCGCACCGAUGGAGAUGUGUGGAGUUGAUCAAGACUCGUCGAUGAGUACGUCGUUGUCAUAUCCAGGCGAGUUGGGUACAAUGAGAUCAAACAGGCUACCUUCGGUAUCUGCCGCAACCACGGUUCCCUUGCCUUUCUCAGAUGGUGUUCUAAGGUGAGUAAAAAAUUUGCCCUCAUCGCCAAUAGGCUUCUUCGCUGGGCCCCUUUUGUCAGCAGGUGGAGCCAUAGGAGCGACCUUACUGUCGGAGGAGUGGAUGUCAUGCUUCCAUUCUUUGAGGCUGCUGCCGAGGGGCCUCGGAAUCAUCACAAUCUUAUGCUUAUCAUGAUUUUGCUAACUGAGUUGGAGCAUUUGGAGUAGCAUUCCCUCUGCAACAGACGACCGCUUGGCCAGAAUUUCUACCUUGGCUUCAACAACAGCAAGCCUCGCCUCGACUUUCUGCAAAAUACGAGUCACCGCCACCACGAGCCUAAUAAGUGCUUGAAAAAGAUAUUACAUUUUUCAAUUCGAAAAUGAACGGACCGCUUCGGCCAGGUCCUGUUAAUAAAGGAGAACAUGGUCUUCUGCAAGGCAGAUUAACCUUAACCAUCCAUAAAAACAUAACCAGUUCGACGUGAACAAUGACAACAUGGCGAAGGAAAACGAUAUAAGCACGUUUGUUUUACCCCUGCUCAAUGUUCUCAUCACCAUUGGAUAUACUACAUGGUGUAAUAUACCAUCAUGGGCAACCAAAGUUCCACUAUGCUUAACACAACUCCUUCACAAACGGAACGAAAAUAACUAGAGAUUACCUCAGCUAUCCCCAUGAGGCGUUGAAGUAACCCAUUUUUACCAUCAUCGUUGUCUUCUGCCUCCUGUUUCCGUGACAUCUCUUCCGGGAUGGGCUGCGUUCACAAGAGUAUAAAUUUUUCAACGACAACAUGAUUUACAGUGAACGAAACGUGGAUAACAUAUGCUUCCGCUACUCACCACAUCCAUUGUUAACUCCAGGUUCAUUGCACAGCUGCUGGGGUCGUUGCCAGGAGUGUCGACCGGUUGUUUGUUAUUACUUGGCUCAUCCCUGCGAACAGUGAAUACGAAAAAACUAUUAUUAGAGCUGACGUACAUAAACAACGCGGAAGAGGAACGAAGAGACUAUUCGAGACCCACCGUUUAUGGGGAUAGACAGCAGGCCAUUAAGGACAUUCCCAGCCUUUAGAUGCAUCCGAUGAUGAUUGGCUCAACAACUUUGAUCACCUCUCAGAUUGGCCAGAUGCCUUUUGCAUCCUUUCCCACCAAGAGUUGGUAGUACACUGCAGGUUCUGACACAGAGGUAGUUCUUCACCGCCUCGGGAACUUGUUAUCCUUGUGCACGUGUGUAUCACGAGCAUGUAUACCUUAAUUAGCAAUCAUCGGCAUCCCUUUUUUGUUCCUGCCUUCCAUAGGCACUAGAUCCCUCCAAGCCAGGAUUUGUUUUCUACUAUGAGUAAGGUGUUGCCCAUAUUUAAAAGAAUGUAAUCCUAUGGCACUCUUUUGAUACGAUUCAUGAGCACAUGCAUUGGGUAACAACGAUCAUGCACCGCUUGAAAUUUAUA